rnacentral:rRNA from 1 species
UACGUAGGUGGCAAGCGUUGUCCGGAUUUACUGGGCGUAAAGAGCGCGCAGGCGGUCAGAUAAGUCGAAUGUGAAAGCCCCCGGCUCAACUGGGGAGGGUCAUUCGAUACUGAUCGACUCGAAGGCAGGAGAGGGAAGCGGAAUUCCCGGUGUAGUGGUGAAAUGCGUAGAUAUCGGGAGGAACACCAGUGGCGAAGGCGGCUUCCUGGCCUGUUCUUGACGCUGAGGCGCGAAAGCUAGGGGAGCAAACGGG